AAAAAAGAUUUGGCUUCCUCCAAGAGAGAUUUUUUCGUUGUGGAUCCUAAACUUGGAUCCCUCUAGGCUAGGUAACAGAGAAUUUUGGCUAAUUUGGAGGUUGCUACAUGCCCGGUAGCUACCUUUGCCUCCACCGCAUUGUACUUAGGAAAAAUUCUGUGUUACCUGCAGAAGUUCUGGAAAAGCAGCAUACCCGUAUGGGGUAUCUACCUGAACUUUGGCCAAAUUGGGAAGUACGUGCAUGCCCAGUAGCUACCCGUUCCUCCUCCCAGGCAUACUUGGUGAAAUUUUGGGGCCUCUUCCGGAGAGAGAGGGACUUGUGGAUUCGGUCCGCAGACCCCUUCAGGCUUGGUACCCAAGAACUUUGGCCAAUUUUGGAGGGAGGUUCCUGCCUGGGUACCUUCACUUCCCUUCGCUGAUCAUGAUUUGAAAAACUUUUGGGCUAGCUCCAAAUACAGAACCGCUUGUCAAUACCACCUGAAGACCCCUCCGCGUUAAAUCCCUCACAAUUUUGGCUCUACUUUGGAGGGAGCUGCAUGCCUGCUAGCUACCAUUGCCUCCUCCAGGGAAGCUUCUGCUAAUGUUGGGGAUUCUGCCUGGGACACACUUAGCUCUGGGGACCAGCUGCAAAGCCCUUCAGGGCAGGGACACCACAACUUUGGACAAGUUUAGACGGAAGUGUAUGCCAGGUAGCUACCCUUGCCUUCGCACCUCGGCAUGCUUCUAGAAAAAAGAUUUGGCUUCCUCCAAGAGAGAUUUUUUCUUUGUGGAUCCUAAACUUGGAUCCCUCUAGGCUAGGUAACAGAGAAUUUUGGCUAAUUUGGAGGUUGCUACAUGCCCGGUAGCUACCUUUGCCUCCACCACAUUGUACUUAGGAAAAAUUCUCUGUCACCUGCACAAGUUCUGGAUAAAAGCAGCAUACCCGUAUGGGGUAUCUACCUGAACUUUGGCCAAAUUGGGAAGUAUGUGCAUGCCCAGUAGCUACCCGUUCCUCCUCCCAGGCAUACUUGGAGAAAUUUUUGGGCCCCUUCCAGUGAGAGAGGGACUUGUGGAUUCGGUCCGCAGACCCCUUCAGGCUUGGUACCCAAGAACUUUGGCCAAUUUUGGAGGGAGGUUCCUGCCUGGGUACCUUCACUUCCCUUCGCUGAUCAUGAUUUGAAAAACUUUUGGGCUAGCUCCAAAUACAGAACCGCUUGUCAAUACCACCGGAAGACCCCUCCGCGUUAAGUCCCUCACAAUUUCGGCUCUACUUUGGAGGGAGCUGCAUGCCUGCUAGCUACCAUUGCCUCCUCCAGGGAAGCUUCUGCUAAUGUUGGGGAUUCUGCCUGAGACAGAUUUAGCUCUGGGGACCAGCUGCAAAGCCCUUCAGGGCAGGGACACCACAACUUUGGACAAGUUUAGACGGAAGUGUAUGCCUGGUAGCUACCCUUGCCUUCUCACCUUGGCAUGCUUCUAGAAAAAAGAUUUGGCUUCCUCCAAGAGAGAUUUUUUCUUUGUGGAUCCUAAACUCGGAUCCCUCUAGGCUAGGUAACAGAGAAUUUUGGCUAAUUUGGAGGUUGCUACAUGCCCGGUAGCUACCUUUGCCUCCACCACAUUGUACUU